AACGAACGCUGGCGGCAUGCCUAACACAUGCAAGUCGAACGAUUGCCUUCGGGUGAUAGUGGCGCACGGGUGCGUAACGCGUGGGAAUCUGCCCCUAGGUUCGGAAUAACAGCUGGAAACGGCUGCUAAUACCGGAUGAUAUCGCGAGAUCAAAGAUUUAUCGCCUGAGGAUGAGCCCGCGUUGGAUUAGGUAGUUGGUGGGGUAAAGGCCUACCAAGCCGACGAUCCAUAGCUGGUCUGAGAGGAUGAUCAGCCACACUGGGACUGAGACACGGCCCAGACUCCUACGGGAGGCAGCAGUGGGGAAUAUUGGACAAUGGGCGCAAGCCUGAUCCAGCAAUGCCGCGUGAGUGAUGAAGGCCCUAGGGUUGUAAAGCUCUUUUACCCGGGAAGAUAAUGACUGGACCGGGAGAAUAAGCCCCGGCUAACUCCGU
rnacentral:rRNA from 1 species